GACGGAAGGUGCAAGCGUUGCUCGGAAUCACUGGGCGUAAAGGGCGCGUAGGUGGCCCGCUCAGCGUGCGGUGAAAGCCUGGGGCUCAACCCCGGGUCGGCCGUGCGAACUGGUGGGCUGGAGCACUGUAGAGGCAGGCGGAAUUCCGGGUGUAGCGGUGGAAUGCGUAGAGAUCCGGAAGAACACCGGUGGCGAAGGCGGCCUGCUGGGCAGUGGCUGACACUGAGGCGCGACAGCGUGGGGAGCAAACAGG
rnacentral:rRNA from 1 species